UGGGGAAUAUUGGACAAUGGAGGGAACUCUGAUGCAGCGACGCCGCGUGAACGAAGAAGGCUUUCGAGUCGUAAAGUUCUUUUAUAUGGGAAGAUAAUGACGGUACCAUAAGAAAAAGCCCCGGCUAACUACGUGCCAGCAGCCGCGGUAAUACGUAGGGGGCUAGCGUUGUCCGGAAUCACUGGGCGUAAAGGGUUCGCAGGCGGAAAUGCAAGUCAGGUGUAAAAGGCAGUAGCUUAACUACUGUAAGCAUUUGAAACUGCAUAUCUUGAGAAGAGUAGAGGUAAGUGGAAUUUUUAGUGUAGCGGUGAAAUGCGUAGAUAUUAAAAAGAAUACCGGUGGCGAAGGCGACUUACUGGGCUCAUUCUGACGCUGAGGAACGAAAGCGUGGGUAGCAAACAGG
rnacentral:rRNA from 2 species